rnacentral:rRNA from 1 species
UACAGAGGUCCCAAGCGUUAAUCGGAAUUACUGGGCGUAAAGCGUGCGCAGGCGGCGCGUUAAGACAGGUGUGAAAGCCCCGAGCUUAACUUGGGAAUUGCGCUUGUGACUGGCGUGCUGGAGUGUGGCAGAGGGAGGUGGAAUUCCACGUGUAGCAGUGAAAUGCGUAGAGAUGUGGAGGAACACCAGUGGCGAAAGCGGCUUCCUGGUCCAGCACCGACGUUCAGGCACGAAAGCGUGGGGAGCAAACAGG